UCGAGGAUCUUCGGCAAUGGGGGCAACCCUGACCGAGCGAUGCCGCGUGUGCGACGAAGGCCUUCGGGUUGUAAAGCACUGUCGGGGGGGAGAAAGGCCGCAAGGCGUGAUCUAUCCCCGGAGGAAGCUCGGGCUAAGUUCGUGCCAGCAGCCGCGGUAAGACGAACCGAGCGAACGUUGUUCGGAAUCACUGGGCUUAAAGGGCGCGUAGGCGGGCUGCGGCGUCCGGGGUGAAAUCCUCCCGCCCAACGGGAGAACGGCCUCGGAUACGGGCGGCCUGGAGGGGGGUAGGGGCGGGCGGAACUGUGGGUGGAGCGGUGAAAUGCGUUGAGAUCCACAGGAACUCCGGUGGCGAAGGCGGCCCGCUGGACCCCACCUGACGCUGAGGCGCGAAAGCCAGGGGAGCGAACGGGAUUAGAUACCCCCGUAGUCC
rnacentral:rRNA from 1 species